CCUACGGGUGGCAGCAGUGGGGAAUAUUGGGCAAUGGGCGCAAGCCUGACCCAGCAACGCCGCGUGAAGGAAGAAGGCUUUCGGGUUGUAAACUUCUUUUGUCAGGGAAGAGUAGAAGACGGUACCUGACGUAUAAACCACGGCUAACUACGUGCCAGCAGCCGCGGGAAUACGUAGUUGGCACGUGUCGUCCGGUUUUACUGGGUGAAAAGGGCGUGUAGCCGGGUUGAAAAGUGAGAUGUGAAAUCCUGCGGCUUAACCGCAGAACUGCUUUUGAAACUGUUGAUCUUGAGUACUGGAGAGGCAGAUGGAAGUCCUAGUGUAGCGGUGAAAUGCGUAGAUAUUAGGAGGAACACCAGUGGCGAAGGCGGUCUGCUGGACAGCAACUGACGGUGAGGCGCGAAAGCGUGGGGAGCAAACAGGAUUAGAUACCCCAGUUC
rnacentral:rRNA from 1 species